rnacentral:tRNA from 1 species
GCCUGGAUAGCUCAGUUGGUUCGAGCGUGGGGCUGAUAACACCAAGGUUGUGGGUUUGAUCCCCGCAUGGGAUA